rnacentral:snRNA from 1 species
AUCGCUUCUCGGCCUUUUGGCUAAGAUCAAGUGUAGUAUCUGUUCUUAUCAGUUUAAAUGCGAAUAAUCACCUUGUCACUAUAGCCAAUAGUUGAGAGAAGAAACUUUCUGGAGGAAAAAAAAAAAACUAUUAUUUUUCACUUCUCACUUUUC